UUGUUUGCCAGCGAGUAAUGUCGGGAACUCCAGGGAGACUGCCGGUGAUAAACCGGAGGAAGGUGGGGACGACGUCAAGUCAUCAUGGCCCUUACGAGUAGGGCUACACACGUGCUACAAUGGCGCAUACAGAGGGCGGCCAACUUGCGAAAGUGAGCGAAUCCCAAAAAGUGCGUCGUAGUCCGGAUUGGAGUCUGCAACUCGACUCCAUGAAGUCGGAAUCGCUAGUAAUCGUGGAUCAGAAUGCCACGGUGAAUACGUUCCCGGGCCUUGUACACACCGCCCGUCACACCAUGGGAGUGGGCUGCAAAAGAAGUAGGUAGUUUAACCUUCGGGGGGACGCUUACCACUUUGUGGUUCAUGACUGGGGUGAAGUCGUAACAAGGUAGCGCUAGGGGAACCUGGCGCUGGAUCAC
rnacentral:rRNA from 1 species